ACGCGUUCCCUCUGCGGAGGUGCUGGGUCUGCGCCUGCUUUUUUCUUUCCCUUUGCAGCACGGCCAACUCAGGCCAUGCCUCUUCACCCCCCGACUGAUGAGUAACGUUCAUGGUUUUUGUGAGAGCAGAAGGCGAAAGGAUGGAGAAAACUCCAGCUAAAGAAGGGAAGUGGGCAGUACCGGAGCUAAAAAGGAGACUGGAAGAAGUGGGAGCUGCUGACCAGGGCACUGAAACAAAACAGAAGCCAAACUUUAUACACGUGAAGGCAGGAUACAAAUGUAAAUUAUCCAUGCAGUCAGAAGUAAACACGAUCUUGUGCAGACAGCGAGCACACAAAUUGUAUAUCUUGCUUCAGGAGACUUUAAAGAGUUUAGAGCUACUUAUUCUGAAAUCACUAGAAGCAGGUUUUAAAGCUGUAUUUUUAGCCCUUGCCCUUUUAUCAGAAUCACAAAGCGUACAAUGUGUUGGGCUUCCAAAUCUGCAAUUAUGUUUUCAUACAGGGUCUAUGCUAACAAAGGUUAUAAGCUUAAGUAACUAACAUUAAAAAAAAAAAAAGGCUGGUAUGAGCAAAACAACAGCCACUGUUAAUCAGAUGUAGCAGACUGGAUAUCCUCUUAUGUUUUGGAAAAAAAAGUACAGGAAGCCUCUGAAAUAGUAUAACAGUCAAAUGACAAGCACUAUUAUAAAUAAUACUAGAAAAUAUCACUGUGUCUUAAUUACAGCUAAGAUGCGAUUACAUUUCUAAGCGGGUCUUUUUGCUCUCACACUAAAGGUAGAAAACUAAAAGUGCUUAACAGAAAUAAAUUGCUUACUGGAGCUCUUAUUUGGGAUGAUUAAAAUGUGUAUACAAUUGUAACUGAAAAGCGA